GACGAACGCUGGCGGCGUGCUUAACACAUGCAAGUCGAACGGAAAGGCCUUUUCGGAGGUACUCGAGUGGCGAACGGGUGAGUAACACGUGGGUGAUCUGCCCUGCACUCUGGGAUAAGCCUGGGAAACUGGGUCUAAUACCGGAUAGGACCGCACUUUAGUGUGUGUGGUGGAAAGUUUUUUCGGUGUAGGAUGAGCCCGCGGCCUAUCAGCUUGUUGGUGGGGUACUGGCCUACCAAGGCGGCGGCGGGUAGCCGGACUGAGAGGUUGGUCGGCCACAUUGAGACUGAGAGACGGCCCAGACUCCUACGGGAGGCAGCUGUGGGGAAGAUUGCACAAGGGGCGCAAGCCUGAUGCAGCGACUCCGCGUGGGGGAUGACGGCCUUCGGGUUGUAAACUCCUUUCGCCAGGGACGAAGCGUUUUGUGACGGUACCUGGAGAAGAAGCACCGGCUAACUACGUG
rnacentral:rRNA from 1 species